CUGCUUUAAGCUGGUGCCAGUUAGAGAGCAAGGAAGCCGGUAGAUGUCUGGCAACAGCGGAUGAUGGAGUAGAUGGGGGAAUCUUUUCCGUACUCUCCGGCCCACGCCAUGUUCUUCAACUGACGGUAGCGGGACUGAGCGGAUGUGUUGGUUAUCUUCAGUUAAAUAAUGAUGCAUACCCAUCAUUUGCUCCCACAUGGAAUGUGGAGAGGAUGGACAUAAGUUACUUCAUGAUAAUGGAGUCUGAUCUUGUUAGAAAAAUUGUUGAGUGUUCCAAGGGAUGUACUGUGCCAUGAAAACAUGAGUGGUUUUAUGUCCGAAUGAUGCAGCUGGAAAUUGGCACAUGGGGAGAUGAUGUUGAGGAUAGAAAUUUGUAAGGUGUAAGCCACUCGAGGAGACCCGAAUAGUUAAUGAAUACUGUGGAGCUCUUUAAAAGGUCAGUGCCUGUGGCUUUGGGAGGUGAGAUUAAGGUAAGG